GGUGAGAAGAUGUGAGGUGAUAGGUGAGGAGAUGUGAGUUAGGGCUGUGAGGUGAUAGGUGAGGAGAUGUGAGUUAAAGCUGUGAGGUGAUAGGUGAGGAGAUGUGAGUUAGGGCUGUGAGGUGAUAGGUGAGGAGAUGUGAGUUAGGGCUGUGAGGUGAUAGGUGAGGAGAUGUGAGUUAGGGCUGUGAGGUGAUAGGUGAGGAGAUGUGAGUUAGGGCUGUGAGGUGAUAGGUGAGGAGAUGUGAGUUAGGGAUGUGAGGUGAUAGGUGAGGAGAUGUGAGUUAGGGCUGUGAGGUGAUAGGUGAGGAGAUGUGAGUUAGGGCUGUGAGGUGAUAGGUGAGGAGAUGUGAGUUAGGGCUGUGAGGUGAUAGGUGAGGAGAUGUGAGUUAGGGCUGUGAGGUGAUAGGUGAGGAGAUGUGAGUUAGGGCUGUGAGGUGAUAGGUGAGGAGAUGUGAGUUAGGGCUGUGAGGUGAUAGGUGAGGAGAUGUGAGUUAAAGCUGUGAGGUGAUAGGUGAGGAGAUGUGAGUUAGGGCUGUGAGGUGAUAGGUGAGGAGAUGUGAGUUAGGGCUGUGAGGUGAUAGGUGAGGAGAUGUGAGUUAGGGCUGUGAGGUGAUAGGUGAGGAGAUGUGAGUUAGGGCUGUGAGGUGAUAGGUGAGGAGAUGUGAGUUAGGGCUGUGAGGUGAUAGGUGAGGAGAUGUGAGUUAGGGCUGUGAGGUGAUAGGUGAGGAGAUGUGAGUUAGGGCUGUGAGGUGAUAGGUGAGGAGAUGUGAGUUAAAGCUGUGAGGUGAUAGGUGAGGAGAUGUGAGUUAGGGCUGUGAGGUGAUAGGUGAGGAGAUGUGAGUUAGGGCUGUGAGGUGAUAGGUGAGGAGAUGUGAGUUAGGGCUGUGAGGUGAUAGGUGAGGAGAUGUGAGGUGAUAGGUGAGGAGAUAGAGCUGUGAAAGCAGCCUUC